rnacentral:rRNA from 1 species
AGAGCGAACGCUGGCGGCAGGCCUAAUACAUGCAAGUCGAACGGAUCCUUCGGGAUUAGUGGCGGACGGGUGAGUAACACGUGGGAACGUGCCCUUUGGUUCGGAACAACUCAGGGAAACUUGAGCUAAUACCGAAUGUGCCCUUCGGGGGAAAGAUUUAUCGCCAUUGGAGCGGCCCGCGUCUGAUUAGCUAGUUGGUGAGGUAAAGGCUCACCAAGGCGACGAUCAGUAGCUGGUCUGAGAGGAUGAUCAGCCACACUGGGACUGAGACACGGCCCAGACUCCUACGGGAGGCAGCAGUAGGGAAUCUUGCGCAAUGGGCGAAAGCCUGACGCAGCCAUGCCGCGUGAAUGAUGAAGGUCUUAGGAUUGUAAAAUUCUUUCAGCGGGGACGAUAAGUGACGGUACCCGCAGAAGAACGCCCCGGCUAACUUCGCGCCAGCAGCCGC